AUGUCCGGAGCGGGAGGCAAGUGGAUGGUCUCCUCCAUUACGGAGGAGAACAUUACGAAGCUCCGGGAAGCCGGAUACCUGGCCGCAGACAUCGCGCACCGGCUCCCAGACGCGGGGCAGAUCGUCCCUACCCCAGAACCCCACGAAAGGGUUGUAUUCCUUACCCACUUAGUCCGUGGGCUGGGAUUUCCCCUCCACCCAUUUGUUCGCGGGCUCAUGUUUUACUAUGGGAUGGACUUCCAUGAUCUGGCCCCCAAUUUCAUCCUCAACAUCUCGGCAUUUAUCGUCGUGUGCGAGGCCUUCCUCCGCAUCAAGCCCCACUUCGGCCUAUGGCUGAAGACCUUCAACGUGAAACCGAAGGUGGUGGUCGGCCAGCAAGCGGAGUGCGGAGGCGCUAUGGUGGGCAAAAUGACCAACGUCACCUGGCUCGAAGGCUCCUAUGUGGAGACCGUGAAGGGGUGGCAAUCGGGGUGGUUUUACAUCACCGAGCCACGCGACACCAACUGGGUGGCGGCCCCCGAAUUUUGA
rnacentral:rRNA from 1 species